AAAUCCUAUAAAUAUAGACCAAACCAUAUCGACUAACCAUCCUAAAACAAAACUUCUUAGCAUGAUUCACCAGAGCUGUAGGUUCAAGAGAGCAUAGAUGUAAAUGGUGACGUCCUCGAUACGGGUGAAAUCGACGUCAUGCAAUGUCUUGGAAACAAAAAGAAAAGAGUGAAGUUUAUGUUAAGGGACAUGAUCGUGUUUUAGUAUUAUAUGUGUAUUGUUAGUUAAACUAACUUCAUGUGUAUCUAGACUUUGCAGGUUUUUGUAGCGUUAGAGAUGUUCCUCUCAUGGGUGAUUUACAAGAAGAUAUCAAGUGGUUAACUUAAGACGAGAUUUCGUAUUGAUGAACAAUUGACAACUGACCAAGGCUUGCAAAGAGUGAUAUACUCUGAAACAUUGGCAGAAACCAAUGGAAGCUUGUGUUGUGUUCCAUUUUUAUUACAUACAAGGCUAAUGCCCAUGAGACAAAGGCUUUAAUGUGCCAAAUGUUAUAAUAAAGUUUUUGGGGAUCAACACUAAACUUUGUUCGAGCAUAU